AUGGAGCUCAGUGGUAGAGCAUUUGUCUGUCACGCACCAGGCCCUGGGUUCAAUCCCCAGUAU
rnacentral:tRNA from 1 species